ensembl:lncRNA
UAGCAUUUAUGUCAGCUGUGGUCAUUUGGAGUGUUUUGGCUCAGAAUGUCCUUAUGUUUUCAAAGCCACCCCUUGCCAGAUCCAUGGAUAGAGGUCUUCCCAUCACAGAAGACUAUGGCAAGGGAAGAUCCCAUCCUUCCUUACCUUUUCUUUCUCCGAAGUUCAAUGGAUGUAUGCCACUAAUUCUCCCAAAACAACUCUACAUUUCCUGGGCUGAAGACACUGAGUAACUGAAUUGUUCCCAAGAUUUAAAGAGCAUCAUGAUCUUCUCUGUUGGAUC